rnacentral:rRNA from 1 species
GAUGAACGCUGGCGGCGUGCCUAAUACAUGCAAGUCGAGCGAACAGACGAGGAGCUUGCUCCUCUGACGUUAGCGGCGGACGGGUGAGUAACACGUGGAUAACCUACCUAUAAGACUGGGAUAACUUCGGGAAACCGGAGCUAAUACCGGAUAAUAUAUUGAACCGCAUGGUUCAAUAGUGAAAGACGGUUUUGCUGUCACUUAUAGAUGGAUCCGCGCCGCAUUAGCUAGUUGGCAAGGUAACGGCUUACCAAGGGGACGAUGCGUAGCCGACCUGGGGGGGGGUAGCCCCCCUGUGAAGCUGACCACCGACCCUGGCCCUUCGGGACGGCCCAGGCUGCUACUCUCCGCAGCAGGGGGGAAGCUUGCCGAAGCGCCGCCGGCCGGGUGAAGAAGCGCCGCGUGCGGUAAAACUCUUUUCUGGGGGAAAACCAAUUGUGCCUGUAACUAAGCCCGUCUGACGGUAACCGAUAAAGAAGCCCCGGCUAACUACGUG